AACUCGGCAAAAUAGCCCCGUAACUUCGGGAGAAGAGGUGCCCCCUCACAAAAGGGGGCCACAGUGACCAGGCCCGGGCGCCUGUUUACCAAAAACAUAGGACUCCGCAAAGUCAUAAGACCAUGUAUGGGGGCACUUCCAUUGUAGGUAACGUAUUUGGUUUCAAAGCCCUACGUGCUCUACGUUUGGAGGAUCUUUGCUAUUCUUCAUGUUCCCGUUACGAGACGACCUCGGCUCAA
rnacentral:ncRNA from 1 species